GACGAACGCUGGCGGCGUGCUUAACACAUGCAAGUCGAACGCUGAAGCUCAGCUUUUGUUGGGUGGAUGAGUGGCGAACGGGUGAGUAACACGUGAGUAACCUGCCCCCUUCUUUGGGAUAACGCCCGGAAACGGGUGCUAAUACUGGAUAUUCACUGGUCUUCGCAUGGGGGUUGGUGGAAAGGGUUUUUCUGGUGGGGGAUGGGCUCGCGGCCUAUCAGCUUGUUGGUGGGGUGAUGGCCUACCAAGGCUUUGACGGGUAGCCGGCCUGAGAGGGUGACCGGUCACAUUGGGACUGAGAUACGGCCCAGACUCCUACGGGAGGCAGCAGUGGGGAAUAUUGCACAAUGGGCGCAAGCCUGAUGCAGCGACGCCGCGUGAGGGAUGGAGGCAUUCGGGUUGUGAACCUCUUUCGCUCAUGGUCAAGCCGCAACAAUGGUUGUGGUGAGGGUAGUGGGUAAAGAAGCGCCGGCUAACUACGUG
rnacentral:rRNA from 1 species